AGAAUGAACGUUGGCGGUGUGGAUUAGGCAUGCAAGUCGUGCGCGAAACGUAGCAAUACGUGGAGAGCGGCGAAAGGGAGAGUAAUACAUGGUUAGCUACCCUCGGGACUGGAAUAGCGGCGGGAAACUGCCGGUAAUGCCAGAUAACGUCUUCGGACCAAACGUGUAAACCGGCCCGAGGAGGCGACCGUGUCCUAUCAGCUAGUUGGCGGGGUAAUGGCCCACCAAGGCAUAGACGGGUAUGGGGCGUGAGAGCGUGCCCCCACUCACUGGGACUGAGAACUGCCCAGACACCUACGGGUGGCUGCAGUCGAGAAUCUUCGG
rnacentral:rRNA from 1 species